CAUUUGUACGUUAGCUGCAGAAGAAGCACCGGCUAACUCCGUGCCAGCAGCCGCGGUAAUACGGAGGGUGCGAGCGUUAAUCGGAAUUACUGGGCGUAAAGCGCAUGCAGGUGGUUUGUUAAGUCAGAUGUGAAAGCCCGGGGCUCAACCUCGGAAUUGCAUUUGAAAACUGGCAGACUAGAGUACUGUAGAGGGGGGUAGAAUUUCAGGUGUAGCGGUGAAAAUGCGUAGAGAUCUGAAGGAAUACCGGUGGCGAAGGCGGCCCCCUCGGACAGAUACUGACACUCAGAUGCGAAAGCGUGGGGAGCAAACAGGAUUAGAUACCCUGGUAG
rnacentral:rRNA from 1 species